CAUAAGCACAAAAGGGCCAUUCAAAGUAAAAUAGAGAGAAGAAGAGCAUCCAAGUGAAUCCCAAAGCUUUCUCUCCAUCCGUGUGCUGCCUCGGUGAUCCUCUACUUCGUGAAAAAUCAGAAGAGGGUCAAGUAAAGAAGAAGCCGAGUUCCUCCAUCUACAAAUCUGUUUGAGGGCUUCUUCCCUUUACUUUACUUGUUUAUAUUUGCUAUAUUCGCUUAUUUGAGAAGCUUGUACUUGAUUUAAACUC
rnacentral:lncRNA from 1 species